GUGAAUGGAUUUAAAAGGUGACUGGAACACUUCUUUCUGACCUCAGAGAUGUGAUGGAUGUCCGGGAAGAUUUUCUCAAGGGCUAGAAGUUAAGAACUUUGUUCCUACUGUUUAUCUUUUUCCCUUUCAUAUUCAAGCCACUUAACCAUACUGAGCCUCAACUUUUUCAUUUAUAAAAUGGAAAUCAUUUUAACUUUUCUCUGGAGGACAGCUGUUGCCUGCCCAUCACUAUUUCCUCCUUUUCUGGUGACAACAUCCUACUUUCCUUCAAAGAAUAAUGCCUACCCCAUUAUAAUAACUUUUACACGGGGCUGUCCCAACACAUGCUGCCUUCAAGGCUAGGUGCAUGACACAGGCCUGGCCAAUCAGUGUGUCCAAUCCCUCUGGCCACUGUGAUUGGUCCAGUUACGGGUAUAUGAUGCAGAUCAAUCCAGUAAAACUCAACCUCGUGACUUUUACUGGAACCAUCAGUCAAGACGCCUUCUUUUUCUGUGAGUUUUCCAGGCUAGGAGAAGGAAAGUUAGAGCCCUGGGAUGCCACGUCAUGAGAAAAGCCUGCCAGAGAGCAAAACUAGCACAAAGGAAAGAAAGUAUUCCAAUAAAAGGGUGACGCUGAAAGCUGAAAUGUGAAUUUGUUAAAUCCUCAAAUAGCCAACAGCUUCUAGGACAAGAUCAUACACAGUUAGGACCUCGAUAACAAUUUGUUAGUGGAAUAGAUAAGAACAUUUUAGAUCCUGUUGCUCAAUUCUGAAAUGCUGCUCUGUGUCAUGAAUAUUGGUUUAUUUUCUUUGUAGAGUGAAGUCAUUAAGACUAGAGCUCCAGGCUUCUUCAUCCAACUCCAAGGGUUCCCAGCAACAUGUGAAGUCCUCUAUCUGUCACUAAGAAGCCGUGUGAGUGAAGCAGGCUAUAUACCUUGGUUUCAACAUCUGUGAACAAGCAAUGGAUGGAUGACUCACCUCUCAUAGGAAUGAUAGAACUUGGAUCAUCUUGUCAAUCACAGAUGAGAAGAAUACACCUUGGCAGCUGCUGGAUCAAGGCAAAUGAGAGACCCAUGGAGCUCACUAAAUCCAACUCUACAGCUUGGAGCUAAGCCUAACUUAGCCAAGUCUAAACCAGUUUGACCUCAGCCAAUUCACAGAUGUUUGAGCCAGAAGUAAGGUGCUUGUUGCUGGAAGCCAGUUAAAUUUUGAGAUCUUUUUGAAAAAUAUAUUGUCAUUGCAGACAUAGAUGCACAUAGUUUUCCACACUGUGGGAAGUCAAAUUAAGCAUGCUUAGACUUUUAAAGCAGAAGCCCAUUAUUAGUGGGGUGGCAAAAAUGUUACAAGUGACAUAGUCCUCCAAUUUCCUUCUUCUAGCCCUCUGCCUAAGAACUAGUGUACUUCAUUUUGAAGUGGAGCCCUAACGGGAGUGUUCAUCUUCUGUCAACAGGGUUAAGCCUCUUGACGCUUACUGGGCACUCACAGUUGUUAGUUCCCUGGAAGACAUGAAAGAGCUUGAUUGGUUCUGUAGUCGUCAGUCAAUAACCAACUGUAACAUACCUACACUUCCAACAAAAUCUUGAUUUGGGAAAUUGAGUGUCUGCUUAUAGUUAAUCCUCUAUUUUUUGACACCUAGUAGGAAAAACAUUUUCAAAAGAGCCAUGACCUGACUCAGUUAAUAUGCAAGGAAAAAUAAGCAGUUCCAAACUUGUCAGUUUAUCCAUCAUCCCUUAUCCAAAAUCCUUCAACUCUCUUGGAAUUAUUUUGUUCUUCAUACUUGCCCAACAAAUAUCUUACUCUUGUCUUGGACUUUAUUUUAUAGUUAUCUCACAUAAGCUCCUUGUGGCUAAGGGCACAUAUUUGGAAUCAGACUACCCUAGUUCAACUCUUGGGUCUACCAUUUAUUAGCUUGUAUUACUUUGGGAAAGAUAAUUAAAUUCUCCAGAUCUAAUUUCCCCCAUUAUAAGAUAAUAAUAGUUAUUACCUGCUAGGAUUGUCUUGAGAAGUAAAUUAGAUAAUUCAUAAGAACCAUUUAACACAGUGCCAGCCACAUAAUGAAGGCAUAGUAAGGGAAAGUUAUUAUGCUGUUGAUAAUACUUGUCUAGGCAGGGGUCUCAUAUUUUUCCCUGUAUCCAUUACUGUACAAUUCAUCUGUCCCAUGACAUUCUAAGAUUGUUUUAGAGUGAGUUGCUUCAGAGUUGAAUAAUUCUAAUAAUAUAUUCUCAUGUUUGGAAACAACUUGGAAUUCCAUUUAGUGUAGACAUCAACAAUGAAAUCGCUAGAGGAUGAGUAAUUUCUACAAUUUUUAUUCAUUAUAGAGAGACCAAUGGGUAUAAUGGUGAAAAGAACUGAGUAGAAGGUCAGGAGGUCAAAGAGACUGAGUUUAAACCCUCACUCUGCUGAGUACUGUUAAUAAUGGUAUGAUCUUAAGAGAACUAAUCUUUAGUUUUUCCCACCUUAAAAACAGAGUUGUCAUGAGUAUUUAAUAAUAGAGGGUAGUAUGUAAACUUCCUGGCAUAUAGCAACUGCUCAACAAAUAGAAGUUAUAGUUUUUUCUUAACUUGCCAAAGAGCCAAGGGAAAAAUGAAGAUUUUGUAGCCAAAGCCAUUUAUCUUUCUCUGUUAUGUGCCUAUCUGUUCCAGAAACAGAAUCAAUUCCUUGAACCUCAUCAAAGGAAGGAUUUGAACAUUUAAAAAAAAAUCAAUCUCUUUGGGUUUGUUAUUGCUUGUUUCCCAUACCUCAGAGACACAAAUACAAACCUUUAUAAUGUCAUCAGGAAGAAGAGGAGUCAAACACUCCUUAACUCAAUAAUUGCAAUGUUAUUAUUUUGCAAGGAAUAGAGUCAAAAUUCCAUUCACAUGAGGACUGUAACUUCUUCAUUACUCCUUGAGGCACGAUGUCCUUGAUUUUAAGUAGCUCAUGUAGAAACUAGUUGUAAGUCUUUAGCGGAGAGACUGUACUGGAAUUAUAGGAUCUACUUAGGGGUUUGAGCUUCCCCACCCACUUAGAGUGACAGUUCACACCUAUAAAAACACAAAAGUCCGGGGGUUUAUUAAACAUUAGGAGAUCCAAAGAGCCAAGACUUCUACCUGUAAAAGUGGUGCUUCCUAAGCAGAAGAAAUGGAAUUUCUCAGAGAAUACAGCUUGGCUUGACCAAUGGACUGUACAAGGAAGAUUAGGAGGUAAUUACUGGGGUAAAAGAGAAAUGGUUGCAUCUUUCUGGAACACUCUAAUAAAACUGAAAGUUUUUCCUGA
rnacentral:lncRNA from 1 species